CUGUGUAAUUACCUUGCUUCCUAAUUGGGAGCAGACAAGGCCAGCAGGUGUGGAAAAUCCCCUGGUACAAGGUCCGCAGCACAGUCGCUGUUCAGGGCAUUUGAUGAAAGGAGGAACGAGUUCGCUGGCAAG
rnacentral:lncRNA from 1 species